GCAUAUCAAUAAGCGGAGGAAAAAGAAACUAACAAAGGAUUCCCCUAGUAAACGGCGUAGUGAAGCGGGAAGUAGCUCAAAUUUGUAAUCUGGCACCAUCGGUGUCCGAGUUGUAAUCUCGAGAAGUGUUUUCCGCGCCGGACCGCAUAUAAGUCUGUUGGAAUACAGCGUCAUAGUGGUGAGAACCCCGUAACUGAUGCGGAUGCCCGGUGCUUUGUGAUACACUUUCGAAGAGUCGAGUUGUUUGGGAAUGCAGCUCAAAUUGGGUGGUAAAUUCCAUCUAAAGCUAAAUAUUGGCGAGAGACCGAUAGCGAACAAGUACCGUGAGGGAAAGAUGAAAAGCACUUUGGAAAGAGAGUUAACAGUACGUGAAAUUGUUGGAAGGGAAACGCUUGAAGUCAGACUUGCUAUUUGGAGUUCAGCCGCAAGGUGUAUUCUUCGAUUUGCAGGCCAGCAUCAGUUUUCUGGGGUGGAAAAGGGUAUUGAGAAGGUAGCAGUUUCGGCUGUGUUAUAGCUCUUUGCUGGAUUCAUCCUGGGGGACUGAGGAACGCAGCGCGCUUUUUGCAAGGCCUUCGGGCUUUUCGUGCUUAGGAUGCUGGUGGAAUGGCUUUAAACGACCCGUCUUGAAACACGGACCAAGGAGUCUAACAUGCUUGCGAGUGUUUGGGUGUCAAACCCGGACGCGCAAUGAAAGUGAAUGGAGGUGGGAUCCGCAAGGUGCACCAUCGACCGAUCUGGAUUUUCUAAGAUGGAUUUGAGUAAGAGCAAUUAUGUUGGGACCCGAAAGAUGGUGAACUAUGCCCUGAAUAGGGCGAAGCCAGAGGAAACUCUGGUGGAGGCUCGUAGCGGUUCUGACGUGCAAAUCGAUCGUCAAAUUUGGGUAUAGGGGCGAAAGACUAAUCGAACCAUCUAGUAGCUGGGUCUGCG
rnacentral:rRNA from 1 species